UACGAAGGGGGCUAGCGUUGCUCGGAAUCACUGGGCGUAAAGGGUGCGUAGGCGGGUCUUUUAAGUCAGGGGUGAAAUCCUGGAGCUCAACUCCAGAACUGCCUUUGAUACUGAGGAUCUUGAGUACGGGAGAGGUGAGUGGAACUGCGAGUGUAGAGGUGAAAUUCGUAGAUAUUCGGAAGAACACCAGUGGCGAAGGCGGCUCACUGGCCCGGUACUGACGCUGAGGUGCGAAAGCGUGGGGAGCAAACAGG
rnacentral:rRNA from 1 species